GGUGGAGCGAUUUGUCUGGUUAAUUCCGAUAACGAACGAGACUCUGGCUUAUUAAAUAGACGGUAUAUUAAAAAGUAUACCGCACUUCUUAGAGGGACAAGCGGCGUCUAGUCGCGUGAAAAAGAGCAAUAACAGGUCUGUGAUGCCCUUAGAUGUCCGGGGCUGCACGCGCGCUACACUGAAAGAAUCAGUGUGCGUUUUACCUAGUUCGGAAGAACCGGGUAACCCAAGUAAACUCCUUCGUGAUUGGGAUAGGGACUUGCAAUUAUUUCCCUUGAACGAGGAAUUCCCAGUAAGUGCGGGUCAUAAGCUCGCGUUGAAUACGUCCCUGCCCUUUGUAC
rnacentral:rRNA from 1 species